AAUUCCAGGUGUAGCGGUGAAAUGCGUAGAGAUCUGGAGGAAUACCGGUGGCGAAGGCGGCCCCCUGGACAAAGACUGACGCUCAGGUGCGAAAGCGUGGGGAGCAAACAGGAUUAGAUACCCUGGUAGUCCACGCCGUAAACGAUGUCUACUUGGAGGUUGUGCCCUUGAGGCGUGGCUUCCGGAGCUAACGCGUUAAGUAGACCGCCUGGGGAGUACGGCCGCAAGGUUAAAACUCAAAUGAAUUGACGGGGGCCCGCACAAGCGGUGGAGCAUGUGGUUUAAUUCGAUGCAACGCGAAGAACCUUACC
rnacentral:rRNA from 1 species